rnacentral:rRNA from 1 species
GAUGAACGCUGGCGGCGUGCCUAAUACAUGCAAGUCGAGCGAACAGAUGAGGAGCUUGCUCCUCUGACGUUAGCGGCGGACGGGUGAGUAACACGUGGAUAACCUACCUAUAAGACUGGGAUAACUUCGGGAAACCGGAGCUAAUACCGGAUAAUAUAUUGAACCGCAUGGUUCAAUAGUGAAAGACGGUUUUGCUGUCACUUAUAGAUGGAUCCGCGCCGCAUUAGCAAGUUGGUAAGGUAACGGCUUACCAAGGCAACGAUGCGUAGCCGACCUGAGAGGGGGAUCGGCCACACAGGAAUGGAACACCGGCCCAGACCCCGAAGGGGGGCAGCAGUAGGGACUCUUCCGCAAUGGGCGAAAGCCUGACGGGGCACCGCCGGGUGAGUGAUGAAGGUCUUCGGGUCGUAAAACGCUUUUAUUGGGGAAGAAAAAAUGUGAAAGUAACUAUGCCCGUCUUGACGGUACUUAUUCAGAAAGCCACGGCUAACUACGU